UACGGGGGGAGCAAGCGUUGUUCGGAUUUACUGGGCGUAAAGGGCGCGUAGGCGGUCAGCACAGGUCAGUUGUGAAAUCUCCGGGCUUAACUCGGAAAGGUCAACUGAUACUGUGCGACUAGAGUGCGGAAGGGGCAACUGGAAUUCUCGGUGUAGCGGUGAAAUGCGUAGAUAUCGAGAGGAACACCUGCGGCGAAGGCGGGUUGCUGGGCCGACACUGACGCUGAGGCGCGAAAGCCAGGGGAGCGAACGGG
rnacentral:rRNA from 1 species